ACCGGGGCCGCACAAGCGGUGGAGCAUUGUUGGUUUAAUUACGAAGCAACGACGAAGAACCUUACCAGGUCUUGACAUCCCGAUGCUAUUUCUAGAGAUAGAAAGUUACUUCGGUACAUCGGUGACAGGUGGUGCAUGGUUGUCGUCAGCUCGUGUCGUGAGAUGUUGGGUUAAGUCCCGCAACGAGCGCAACCCCUAUUGUUAGUUGCCAUCAUUCAGUUGGGCACUCUAGCGAGACUGCCGGUAAUAAACCGGAGGAAGGUGGGGAUGACGUCAAAUCAUCAUGCCCCUUAUGACCUGGGCUACACACGUGCUACAAUGGUUGGUACAACGAGUUGCGAGUCGGUGACGGCGAGCUAAUCUCUUAAAGCCAAUCUCAGUUCGGAUUGUAGGCUGCAACUCGCCUACAUGAAGUCGGAAUCGCUAGUAAUCGCGGAUCAGCACGCCGCGGUGAAUACGUUCCCGGGCCUU
rnacentral:rRNA from 1 species